GCUAUCAUAGCUCAUUUCGUUAGAGUGUCCGCUUAGUAAGUAGAAGUGAUCUUGAGUUCGACUCUCCAUGAGAGCA
rnacentral:tRNA from 1 species